rnacentral:misc_RNA from 1 species
AAAGUCGUAACAAGGUUUCCGUAGGUGAACCUGCGGAAGGAUCAUUACAAAUCCAAAACAAUGACUCGUUGAAAUGUUCUCGGCCUUGGGGUGUGGCAUCCACUUUAUCACCGCCUCAAAGACGGUGGUGUCGUGGACGCGCCACGCCAAAGAGAAAAGAGAAGCUGGCAUACUUGCAUGGCUUCUCUAACACCUCUGAAACCAAGGUUCGCACAAUGACGCUUUUCAUAUCGACAUUUACGUAUCAGUGAUAACAAAAACAACUUUUAACAAUGGAUCUCUAGGCUCUU